UAGAUUGAAGCCCGCUGGCUGGGGUAUUUAGUUGUUAAUUAAAAUUUUACGGGAUCGAGGCCCGUCAAUCUAGG
rnacentral:tRNA from 1 species